AAGCUGAAGAUCUAUGUAUGAACGAUUUUGUGGAAUCAUAUAUUUGGAAUGAUGGUGAAAAUGAAAAUCCUCCAUUAAUUGCUGAAGAAGCUGUUAAUUCAACUGUAAAUGAAAAUUCCUACAAACCUUCAACUUCGAAGCUAUCAACUACAAUCAAUGCUCACCUAGACCAACUCAACCAAGUAGUACUCAAGAAGACCGGAAUGAGGCC